CUAACUGGAGGACCGAACCGACUAAUGUUGAAAAAUUAGCGGAUGACUUGUGGCUGGGGGUGAAAGGCCAAUCAAACCGGGAGAUAGCUGGUUCUCCCCGAAAGCUAUUUAGGUAGCGCCUCGUGAACUCAUCUUCGGGGGUAGAGCACUGUUUCGGCUAGGGGGUCAUCCCGACUUACCAACCCGAUGCAAACUACGAAUACCGAAGAAUGUUAUCACGGGAGACACACGGCGGGUGCUAACGUCCGUCGUGAAGAGGGAAACAACCCAGACCGCCAGCUAAGGUCCCAAAGUCAUGGUUAAGUGGGAAACGAUGUGGGAAGGCACAGACAGCCAGGAUGUUGGCUUAGAAGCAGCCAUCAUUUAAAGAAAGCGUAAUAGCUCACUGGUCGAGUCGGCCUGCGCGGAAGAUGUAACGGGGCUAAACCAUGCACCGAAGCUGCGGCAGCGACACUAUGUGUUGUUGGGUAGGGGAGCGUUCUGUAAGCCUGCGAAGGUGUGCUGUGAGGCAUGCUGGAGGUAUCAGAAGUGCGAAUGCUGACAUAAGUAACGAUAAAGCGGGUGAAAAGCCCGCUCGCCGGAAGACCAAGGGUUCCUGUCCAACGUUAAUCGGGGCAGGGUGAGUCGACCCCUAAGGCGAGGCCGAAAGGCGUAGUCGAUGGGAAACAGGUUAAUAUUCCUGUACUUGGUGUUACUGCGAAGGGGGGACGGAGAAGGCUAUGUUAGCCGGGCGACGGUUGUCCCGGUUUAAGCAUGUAGGCUGAUUGUCCAGGCAAAUCCGGAUAAUCAAGGCUGAGGUGUGAUGACGAGGCACUACGGUGCUGAAGUAACAAAUGCCCUGCUUCCAGGAAAAGCCUCUAAGCAUCAGGUAACAUUAAAUCGUACCCCAAACCGACACAGGUGGUCAGGUAGAGAAUACCAAGGCGCUUGAGAGAACUCGGGUGAAGGAACUAGGCAAAAUGGUGCCGUAACUUCGGGAGAAGGCACGCUGGUGUGUAGGUGA
rnacentral:rRNA from 1 species